rnacentral:tRNA from 1 species
ACGAGUACCUGGCCGACUACGAGCAGCGGCGCGGCCCUCUCUCGGCCGAAUCCCAUGAACUGGAUCCUCUCCGGUGUGCGCGUG